rnacentral:rRNA from 1 species
GAACGAGAAAGGGGAGCAAUCCCUGAGUACAGUGGCGUACGGGUGAGUAACACGUGGAUGAUCUACCUUCUGGUGCGGAAUAACCAAGGGAAACCGUGGCUAAUACCGCAUAAGCUCGAGAGAGGAAAGCAGCAAUGCGCCGGAAGAGGAGUCCGCGGCCGAUUAGCUAGUUGGGAGGGUAGAAGCCUACCAAGGCAAAGAUCGGUAGCCGGCCUGAGAGGGCACACGGCCACACUGGCACUGAAACACGGGCCAGACUCCUACGGGAGGCAGCAGUGGGGAAUCUUGCACAAUGGGGGCAACCCUGAUGCAGCGACGCCGCGUGAGCGAUGAAGCCCUUCGGGGUGUAAAGCUCUUUCGGCAGGGAAGAUAAUGACGGUACCUGCAGAAGCAGCUGCGGCUAACUACGUGCCAGCAGCCGCGGUAAUACGUAGGCAGCGAGCGUUGUUCGGAGUUACUGGGCGUAAAGGGUGUGUAGGCGGUUGUCUAAGUUUGGUGUGAAAUCUCCCGGCUCAACUGGGAGGGUGCGCCGAAUACUGAAUGACUCGAGUGCGGGAGAGGAGAGUGGAAUUCCUGGUGUAGCGGUGAAAUGCGUAGAUAUCAGGAGGAACACCGGUGGUGUAGACGGCUCUCUGGACCGUAACUGACGCUGAGACACGAAAGCGUGGGUAGCAAACAGGAUUAGAUACCCUGGUAGUCCACGCCCUAAACGAUG